UAGGGAAUAUUGGACAAUGGCUGAAAAGCUGAUCCAGCCAUCCCGCGUGAAGGCAGAAGGUCCUAUGGAUUGUAAACUUCUUUUCUCUGGGAAGAAAACCCUUGUUCACAAGGAACUGACGGUACCAGAGGAAUAAGCACCGGCUAACUCCGUGCCAGCAGCCGCGGUAAUACGGAGGGUGCAAGCGUUAUCCGGAUUCACUGGGUUUAAAGGGUGCGUAGGCGGGCUUGUAAGUCAGUGGUGAAAGCCCGGGGCUUAACUCCGGAACUGCCGUUGAUACUGCAAGUCUUGAGUACACUUGAGGUGGGCGGAAUACAUCAUGUAGUGGUGAAAUACUUAGAUAUGAUGUAGAACACCGAUUGCGAAGGCAGCUCACUAAAUUGUAACUGACGCUGAGGCACGAAAGCGUGGGGAUCAAACAGG
rnacentral:rRNA from 1 species